CAACGAGCUUCGACUGGUUUCAUGUUGACAGGAACAGUGAAGCUGGUUUUGUCUCCAGACGCUGUGCAGUGAUCCCAGAGAGACGACCCGACGGACUGGAGGAAAGCUUCUUCUCUCCUGAAGUUUCCUCCAGAGGAGAAAGAGUCUGGAAGAUGAGCUGAAGAGAUCACCGUCCCUAAAGCUGGAGAACAAUCUGGGAAUUCUGCUUCUUAAUGAGAGGAAGAGCCGACAUCCAGGGCUGAUUCUGCGAUGGACGGCUGUGAGGACAGACAGGAGGGAGUCCGUCCCUCUAAAAUACGUCUCCAUGUGGAAGAUGAGAGACAGAGCAGAGCUCAGAGGUCUGACUCCUGGCCUCCGUCCAGCUGUGUGUCUCUGAAGAGUGACCAGUCCAAGUUUGAAACCAUUUUAUUCAGAGAAUCUCACCAACAUCCAGACGAUGGCUCUGACUCUGAGUUUCCAUCCAGCUGUGUGUCCCUGAAGAGUGAUGGAUCCAGGGUGCAACCCAUUUCAUUUAAAUCAGGACCAGGACCUGCUGAUGAGGGCGUCAGCCAGCAGAGCUCCCAGGUUCUCCAUGGAGGCUCUGCCCCUCAGCAUCCAGCACAUCUGGACUCCAUCUUUAUGGUG